UACGUAGGGUGCGAGCGUUAAUCGGAAUUACUGGGCGUAAAGGGCUCGUAGGUGGCCAACUAAGUCGGACGUGAAAUCCCUCGGCUUAACCGGGGAACUGCAUCCGAUACUGGAUGGCUUGAGUUCGGGAGAGGGAUGCGGAAUUCCAGGUGUAGCGGUGAAAUGCGUAGAUAUCUGGAGGAACACCGGUGGCGAAGGCGGCAUCCUGGACCGGCAUUGACGCUGAGGCGCGAAAGCCAGGGGAGCAAACGGG
rnacentral:rRNA from 1 species